GGAUCAAGUGAUGAGAAAAAUAACUGCAACAAUAUGAAUGGAAGCAAUUCCAUGUUCAUGAUUCGUGGUAUUUACGUCUGAUGUUC